AAAAUACUCCCUCCGCCCGAAAAAGUUUGUCACUUAAAUGGAUAUAUCUAGCACUUGUUAAUUAAAUGGAUGUAUCUAGCACCAAGUUAGUGCUAGAUACAUUCAUUUUGAGGGAUAAGUUUGGGACAAGCUUUUUCGGACGGAGAGAGUAUUUA
rfam:Triticum aestivum genome assembly, contig: Triticum_aestivum_CS42_TGACv1_scaffold_271580_3DS